UACAGAGGGGGCAAGCGUUGUUCGGAAUUACUGGGCGUAAAGGGCGCGUAGGCGGCCUGCUAAGUCGAACGUGAAAUCCCCGAGCUCAACUCGGGAACUGCGUCCGAUACUGGCAGGCUUGAAUCCGGGAGAGGGAUGCGGAAUUCCAGGUGUAGCGGUGAAAUGCGUAGAUAUCAAGAGGAACACCUGCGGCGAAGGCGGGUUGCUGGGCCGACACUGACGCUGAUGCGCGAAAGCCAGGGGAGCGAACGGG
rnacentral:rRNA from 1 species